rnacentral:rRNA from 1 species
GACGAACCACACGAACGUUAUUCGGAAUUACUGGGCUUAAAGGGUGCGUAGGCGGCGCAGAAAGUUGGGUGUGAAAUCCCUCGGCUCAACCGAGGAACUGCGCCCAAAAACUACUGUGCUUGAGGAAGAUAGAGGUAAGCGGAACUUACGGUGGAGCGGUGAAAUGCGUUGAUAUCGUAAGGAACACCUGUGGCGAAAGCGGCUACUGGGUCUUUUCUGACGCUGAUGCACGAAAGCCAGGGGAGCAAACCGGGGAGUAGAAAACCCCAGU